UACGGGGGGGGCAAGCGUUGUUCGGAAUUACUGGGCGUAAAGGGCUCGUAGGUGGCCAACUAAGUCAGACGUGAAAUCCCUCGGCUUAACCGGGGAACUGCGUCUGAUACUGGAUGGCUUGAGUUUGGGAGAGGGACGCGGAAUUCCAGGUGUAGCGGUGAAAUGCGUAGAUAUCAGGAGGAACACCGGCGGCGAAGGCGGGUCUCUGGGCCGUAACUGACGCUGAGGAGCGAAAGCAUGGGGAGCGAACAGG
rnacentral:rRNA from 1 species